GGGCCCGCACAAGCGGUGGAGCAUGUGGCUUAAUUCGAGGCAACGCGAAGAACCUUACCUGGUCUUGACAUGCCCGUCAUAGUUUUCCGAAAGGAAUUCGUCGGUUCGGCCGGACGGUGCACAGGUGCUGCAUGGCUGUCGUCAGCUCGUGUCGUGAGAUGUUCGGUUAAGUCCGGCAACGAGCGCAACCCUCGUUCCUAGUUGCCAGCGGGUAAUGCCGGGGACUCUAGGAAGACAAACCUCGUGUAGAGGUGGGAAGGUGGGGACGACGUCAAGUCAGUAUGGCCCUUACGACCAGGGCUGCACACGUGCUACAAUGCUCGGCACAAUGGGAUGCAAUACCGCGAGGUUGAGCCAAUCCACAAAACCGAGCCCAGUUCGGAUUGGAGUCUGCAACUCGACUCCAUG
rnacentral:rRNA from 1 species